CGCUCUACAACCCUUUGUGAACAUACCUAUAACUGUUGCUUCGGCGGGUAGGGUCUCCGCGACCCUCCCGGCCUCCCGCCUCCGGGCGGGUCGGCGCCCGCCGGAGGAUAACCAAACUCUGAUUUAACGACGUUUCUUCUGAGUGGUACAAGCAAAUAAUCAAAACUUUUAACAACGGAUCUCUUGGUUCUGGCAUCGAUGAAGAACGCAGCGAAAUGCGAUAAGUAAUGUGAAUUGCAGAAUUCAGUGAAUCAUCGAAUCUUUGAACGCACAUUGCGCCCGCCAGCAUUCUGGCGGGCAUGCCUGUUCGAGCGUCAUUUCAACCCUCAAGCUCUGCUUGGUGUUGGGGCCCUACAGCUGAUGUAGGCCCUCAAAGGUAGUGGCGGACCCUCUCGGAGCCUCCUUUGCGUAGUAACUUUACGUCUCGCACUGGGAUCCGGAGGGACUCUUGCCGUAAAACCCCCAAUUUUCCAAAGGUUGACCUCGGAUCAGGUAGAGGAAUACCCGCUGAACUUAAGCAUAUCAAUAA
rnacentral:rRNA from 1 species